CCUAAUCACACUCAAUGAAAACUACACACCACGUGGCAAUCUAAGUAGAAUAACGUUUUUCUUCAUUCUAAGCUGCCCAAGAUGCUGGUUGGUUGCUUGAAGAUCAUGCCAAAGCUGAGUAUUGAAUCCACUUCCAAGCAUGAGAUUCAUAGAUUGUAGGUUUGAUAGUUGCUCAUAUUUGUUGAUUUCCUCAUCUAUGUCACCAACAUACACAUCCCUACCAACAUACU
rnacentral:lncRNA from 1 species